GACGAACGCUGGCGGCGUGCUUAACACAUGCAAGUCGAACGGAAAGGCCCUGCUUUUGUGGGGUGCUCGAGUGGCGAACGGGUGAGUAACACGUGAGUAACCUGCCCUUGACUUUGGGAUAACUUCAGGAAACUGGGGCUAAUACCGGAUAGGAGCUCCUGCUGCAUGGUGGGGGUUGGAAAGUUUCGGCGGUUGGGGAUGGACUCGCGGCUUAUCAGCUUGUUGGUGGGGUAGUGGCUUACCAAGGCUUUGACGGGUAGCCGGCCUGAGAGGGUGACCGGCCACAUUGGGACUGAGAUACGGCCCAGUCUCCUACGGGAGGCAGCAGUGGGGAAUAUUGCACAAUGGGCGGAAGCCUGAUGCAGCAACGCCGCGUGCGGGAUGACGGCCUUCGGGUUGUAAACCGAUUUCGCCUGUGACGAAGCGUGAGUGACGGUAAUGGGUAAAGAAGCACCGGCUAACUACGU
rnacentral:rRNA from 1 species